UUCUGAUGAGAGGAAAAGUACAAAUGAGCUGCAGAAAGCAGGAACCGGCACCUGCAGCAUGAUCCUGCCUGAACAUUUCUGACUACCCAAGAAAUAUUCAAGAGGUCAGCAAGUCAUGAAAAUAUUAAGCACUCCAAGAUCCAGAGCAGAGUGAGAUUGGAUAUACCCUGCCACUUACCAUGGACCAUUGCUACUGUCUGGAAUGUUGUCCAUCUCAUUUUGCACACAGCUUAAAUUCAAAACAAGAUAUCUCUAAGAUCCUCUUGCUAUGGUCAAAAACUUCACAAAUUGAAGAUGUAAAACAGCGUCUGUGCAUUCUCUUCUCUGUUACUGUAUAGAAAGAAAUCAAGCAUGACUGCUUUGAUUUUGGCUAAUCUGUUAGCUUUCAGUCUGAUGGAAUAAUUUCCACUAAGCAAAAACUACUAAAACUUGACAUUUCAACUGAUGAAUAAAAGUUAACUUGCAUCCAAGACUUCAACAAGUCUGUGUUUAAACUGCUAAUAUUGUUUUCCAGAAAAGUUUGAAAAGAGGAGGGAAGCUUAAGUAGAAUAGAAAAAUGCCAAUAUUCAUGCCAAUGUUCAUAAAAGAUAAAUAGCCUGAACCACUUAUUAUCCUGAUCUUCAAAACUUUGGUUCUGGUGCUGCCAACUGCACAGUUGAUGCAGUAUUUUUUAACACACACUAAGAAAAGGUGAUAUCAUAGAUGUCAAUUAAUAUGGCUUUACAAGAAAUGAUGUUUUCAGAAAAUAUUUCGUAUUUUAAUGAUAGUAACAUUUUGACUCAUAAAAAUGCAAGAAUUCAUACAAUACUGCUGAACUUCUCUAAAAUACUG
rnacentral:lncRNA from 1 species